UCAUGUAUUACUUGUGCCUGA
rnacentral:piRNA from 1 species